AAGCAAGUGUUGGUAUCGUGUCCCAUCAGUUUAGCCUAGUGGGAGAGGACAGCCUGGCCGAGCUGCUGAUCUGGGGCAGUUUGGCAAACAUCCGCCCCCAGAGACGGUGUGUGUGUGUGAAGGACUCGGAUGGGCUGCCUGUGAGAGCGCCGGAGGCACUUUACUUCUUUACCCUCUGCUGGAACACAUGAACGUGUUGUGUGUCAUGUUCCCUCUCGUUCUCACUGGAUCUCCCUCCUUGGCAGACUGCCGUCUUCUGUCCGUCUGAAUGACAGAUAUGAAUUACAGACGUGCCACAGGACGUCCUCAAUGUUCUCAACAGUCUUCCUGAUGUAUCGAAGACCAGAUGAGGCCAGAAAUCCCACAGACUUGCACUGAGCCACAUCUAGCCACACAAUGGGAAAAAACAAAUGAUGGAAGGGGACUGUCUUGUUACCAGCAUUGUUCAAAAUAUCAUCAGAAGAAAUAAACUCAUC